CCAGACUCCUACGGGAGGCAGCAGUGAGGAAUAUUGGUCAAUGGCCGCAGGGCUGAACCAGCCAAGUCGCGUGAGGGAUGACGGUCCUAUGGAUUGUAAACCUCUUUUGUCAGGGAGCAAAGGGCGCCACGUGUGGCGCUUUGCGAGUACCUGAAGAAAAAGCAUCGGCUAACUCCGUGCCAGCAGCCGCGGUAAUACGGAGGAUGCGAGCGUUAUCCGGAUUUAUUGGGUUUAAAGGGUGCGCAGGCGGUGUGUAAAGUGCGGGGUAAAAGCCCGGGGCUCACCCCCGGGGAGCCGUUGAAACUGGCUGUCUUGAGAUGUCGAGAGGUAUGCGGAAUGCGCAGUGUAGCGGUGAAAUGCUUAGAUAUUGCGCAGAACUCCGAUUGCGAAGGCAGCAUACCGGCGGCGAUCUGACGCUGAGGCUCGAAGGCGCGGGUAUCGAACAGGAUUAGAUACCCUUGUACC
rnacentral:rRNA from 1 species